GACAGAGGGGGCAAGCGUUGCUCGGAAUUACUGGGCGUAAAGGGCGCGUAGGCGGGAUGGCAAGUCGGUCGUGAAAUCCCCCGGCUCAACCGGGGAACUGCAUCGGAUACUGGUGGACUCGAGAGUUGUAGGGGUGGACGGAACUCCAGGUGGAGCGGUGAAAUGCGUAGAUAUCUGGAGGAACACCGGAGGCGAAAGCGGUCCACUGGGCAACUUCUGACGCUGAGGUGCGAAAGCUAGGGUAGCAAACGGG
rnacentral:rRNA from 1 species